GACGAACGCUGGCGGCGUGCUUAACACAUGCAAGUCGAGCGGUAAGGCCUCUUCGGGGGUACACGAGCGGCGAACGGGUGAGUAACACGUGGGUGACCUGCCCUCAGCUCUGGGAUAAGCCUGGGAAACUGGGUCUAAUACCGGAUAUGACCUUUCCUCGCAUGGGGGUUGGUGGAAAGUUUUUUCGGCUGGGGAUGGGCCCGCGGCCUAUCAGCUGGUUGGUGGGGUGAUGGCCUACCAAGGCGACGACGGGUAGCCGGCCUGAGAGGGCGACCGGCCACGCUGGGACUGAGCCACGGCCCAGCCUCCUGCGGGAGGCGGCAGUGGGGAAUAUUGCGCAAUGGGCGGAAGCCUGACGCAGCGACGCCGCGUGGGGGAUGACGGCCUUCGGGUUGUAAACCUCUUUCGACCCCGACGAAUUUGGACGGUAGGGGUAGAAGAAGCACCGGCCAACUACGUG
rnacentral:rRNA from 1 species